rnacentral:tmRNA from 1 species
GGGGCUGAUUCUGGAUUCGACGGGAUUUGCGAAACGCAAGGUGCAUGCCGAGGGGCGGUUGGCCUCGUAAAAAGCCGCAAAAAAUAGUCGCAAACGACGAAAACUACGCUUUAGCAGCUUAAUAACCUGCUC